rnacentral:tRNA from 1 species
AGCAGCGUGGCUCAGUGGAAAGAGCCUGGGCUUCGGAGUCAGAGGUCAUGGGUUUGAAUCCCGCCUCUGCCA